rfam:Cariama cristata contig20246, whole genome shotgun sequence.
ACAAAGGCUCUUUUCAGAGCCACCCAAGUUUCCAAGAGAAGGGCUGU